UGCCGGGAGUCGGGGUGCCGCCGGUUACUCUUGUGAGUGCCUUUCAGGAAGCCACAGGGCGGGCGGCGUCCGCGCUGAGGACCCGGGAGCGAGUAGCAGGCAGGCCCCGUUUAUGCACAGCCCAGUGACAUACACAGAAGCAUAACUCCGGCUAGAGAUGGAGCGCCCGGGGGUGCACAUGUGUGCAGACCCCUCGGCAUGUCACCAUGCUGUGUGGGCACCUGUCGUGUGAGUAGCUCCGGGCGUGGCUGCUCCAGGGACCUUCCUUUUCUAUAAGAUUUAUUUCUAGGGCCCUACCGCCCCUCUCUCCAGAGGGGAACGUAAGAAGUUUAACGGAGCUGGGACUGAGAAGAUUAAGGGAGUGCAAGAGAGAAAGGGCCGAAAGGGUGGGGACUGUGGGCGCUGGGGGUAGAGAACCGGUUCUUUGACCCUCUCCCAGCCAGAAAGGCAUUUUGGAAAGACUGGCGUGACAAAAGUGGCCCUGAAAUGUCUAGAGAGCUGGAACAGUGAGUAAGUGUCACUGGGCUGAACCUGGCCAAUUUGUGAUCCAAAGGGAUGCUAGCAGUUAGAAAGGCAAGGAGGAAACUCAGGAUGGGGACCAUCUGUUCCCCCAACCCCAGCGGGACAAAGACCGCUUCAGACGUCUGCAAUGCCGACUGGAUGGCCUCGCUCCCCCCUCACCUCCACAACGUCCCCCUUUCCAAUCUGGCAAUCCCAGGUAUUCUUCUAUUCCUACUUGUUCACACUGUGUUGAAUUCUGC
rnacentral:lncRNA from 1 species